rnacentral:rRNA from 1 species
AGGGUUCGAUUCUGGCUCAGGAUGAACGCUAGCUACAGGCUUAACACAUGCAAGUCGAGGGGCAGCGAGAAGUUAGCUUGCUAACUUUGUCGGCGACCGGCGCACGGGUGAGUAACGCGUAUCCAACCUUCCCUAUAGUAGGGGAUAGCCCGGCGAAAGUCGGAUUAAUACCCUAUGUUCUCUUUGAUGGCAUCUGAGGAGAAGCAAAGGUUUACCGCUAUAGGAUGGGGAUGCGUCUGAUUAGCUUGUUGGCGGGGUAACGGCCCACCAAGGCAACGAUCAGUAGGGGUUCUGAGAGGAAGGUCCCCCACAUUGGUACUGAGACACGGACCAAACUCCUACGGGAGGCAGCAGUGAGGAAUAUUGGUCAAUGGGCGAGAGCCUGAACCAGCCAAGUAGCGUGCAGGAAGACUGCCCUAUGGGUUGUAAACUGCUUUUAUAGGGGAAUAAAGUGAGGUAUGCAUACCUUUUUGUAUGUACCCUAUGAAUAAGGACCGGCUAAUUCCGUGCCAGCAGCCGC